rnacentral:lncRNA from 1 species
ACAACGGGAGACUGAGAGCUAGCAGAGCUAGCUAGCAGAGAAUGAAGAGAAGAAGACACCCUUCCCCAAUAAUUAAGGGGUCUUCUCAAGCUUUUGACCUAGAGCUGAGGCUUCUGGAGUACUCCACUGGCUAAAGCAGAUCACAGGGCCAACCUGUGACUCAAUGCCUGAGGCAGCUGCAAAAGAGCAUGACUCUGAGACGAGAUUGUUAACUGAGGUGUUGAGCCUCUGUGUAAGAAGUCUGGCUGUCACAGUUGAGAAACCACCCUUCAGAAUGAUACGAGAGUCCAUGCAGAGAGGGAAAGGUUCUGAGACUGAUAUGAAGAGAAAAAGAGGUCAGCCAAUCCAACACCCCAGCUAAGAUUCCACCCACCACCCCUAGCCAGC